rnacentral:rRNA from 1 species
AAUGCGGCUGCUAUACUGCAAGUCGAGCGGAAUGAUGAAGAAGCUUGCUUCUUCUGAUUUUAGCGGCGGACGGGUGAGUAACACGUGGGCAACCUGCCUUGUAGAUUGGGAUAACUCCGGGAAACCGGGGCUAAUACCGAAUAAUCCAUUUUGCUUCAUGGCGAAAUGUUGAAAGGCGGCUUCGGCUGUCACUACGAGAUGGGCCCGCGGCGUAUUAGCUAGUUGAUAGGGUAAUGGCCUACCAAGGCGACGAUACGUAGCCGACCUGAGAGGGUGAUCGGCCACACUGGGACUGAGACACGGCCCAGACUCCUACGGGAGGCAGCAGUAGGGAAUCUUCCACAAUGGACGAAAGUCUGAUGGAGCAACGCCGCGUGAGUGAAGAAGGUUUUCGGAUCGUAAAACUCUGUUGUAAGGGAAGAACACGUACGAGAGUAACUGCUCGUACCUUGACGGUACCUUAUUAGAAAGCCACGGCUAACUACGUGCCAGCAGCCGCGGUAAUACGUAGGUGGCAAGCGUUGUCCGGAAUUAUUGGGCGUAAAGCGCGCGCAGGCGGUUCUUUAAGUCUGAUGUGAAAGCCCACGGCUCAACCGUGGAGGGUCAUUGGAAACUGGAGAACUUGAGUACAGAAGAGGAAAGCGGAAUUCCACGUGUAGCGGUGAAAUGCGUAGAGAUGUGGAGGAACACCAGUGGCGAAGGCGGCUUUCUGGUCUGUAACUGACGCUGAGGCGCGAAAGCGUGGGGAGCAAACAGGAUUAGAU